GGCAAUCGGUCCGGUCCGGGUCCACUGUGCGCCGCCGACUGGCCCCUGGCCAGCGGCCGGCCGGAGUCUCGGCCCAUUAACGUAGCGGACUCGGCUGCGCAGCGGUGACGGCGGCAGAGCGCCACGGACCGGGCUACGCUGCACGUCUGAGUGACCGUCGUUUGACCCCGCCUCCGCCUCCGCGGCUCUGAACGGUCGUCGUACGGGUGCAGCUGCUCUACUGUUCCCCGCUGCCGCUGUCUGCUGGUGUUCCCGCCACUGGUCCUCCCGCUGCCUGCGAUGGCCCUCCGCCGGUGCGUCCGGCUAGCGUUGCCGCCCUUGGGCGCCGUCCGCUCCCUGAGUGCCUCAGCCGGCCGGCCGUCCCGCCGCUCUGCCGGCCGACUGCUCAAGUACAGCCUCGUCGGAGCGACGCUAGGCGGCGCUGUGGUGCCCGCCGUUUACUAUGCGUGUCAGGACGACAUCGGGCGCCGGCGUCUGCGAGUCACAUAUGAGGGCGUGGGCCGCUUCGUCCGCUCCGUCCGUAUCGGUGCCACCAUCUCGCUCGACUACUGGUGGUCGACUCGCGGGAUGGACGAAACCUCCACGGAGUAUGAGACAGCAAUGAGCGGGUGCCACCAGCGUGCCGCCGACCGCAUCCUGGUCGGGUGCCUGAAAAACGGCGGCCUCUACGUCAAGCUGGGCCAGGGGCUCGUCUCGAUGAACCACAUCCUGCCCAAGGAAUACCUCAACACGCUGAAGGUGCUGCAGGACCGGUGUCUGAACCGGCGGGCCGACGAGGUGGGCCGCCUGUUCCUGGAGGAUUUCGGCCGCUCCCACCUGGAUAUGUUCGCAGAGUUUGACCCAGAGCCGGUGGCGGCCGCCAGUCUGGCGCAGGUCUUCAAGGCCACCACUCACAGCGGGGAGAAGGUGGCGGUAAAGGUGCAGUACAUCGACCUCCAGGACCGGUUUCACGGCGACAUCAGCACCAUAGAGAUGCUCCUGGAGCUCAUAUCCUGGAUGCACCCCAAGUUCACGCUCAAGUGGGUGAUGAAGGACCUGAAGAAGACUCUGGCAGAGGAGCUCGACUUCAUCCACGAGGGGAAGAAUGCGGAGCGCUGCGCCUCUGACCUCGCGCACUUCAGCUUCGUGCACGUGCCGAAGGUGCACUGGGACAAAACGUCGCUGCGAGUGCUGACGGCUGAGUUCAUAGACGGCGUCAAGAUCAGCGACCUCGAGGGUAUUGAGCAGCUCGGCCUGGACGUAGCAGACGUGGACACAAAGCUGAUCCGAUCCUUCGCCGAACAGAUCUUCCACUCGGGCUUCGUGCACGCCGACCCGCACCCAGGGAAUAUCCUGGUGCGUCGCGGCGCCGACGGCCGGGCGCAGCUGGUCCUGCUCGACCACGGCCUCUACCAGCGGCUCCCGGAGACCGUCCGCACCGCACUGGCCAACCUCUGGAAGGCCAUCGUGCUCAACGAUCACCCCUCGAUGGCGCGCUUCGCCGGCCAGCUCGGUGUCACCGACGAGUACCGGUUCUUCUGUAUGUUCGUUGCCCAGAAGUACGUCGGCCCGCCAGAGGGCAGCAAACAGGAAAACGAACUCCUGGGCCGGCGCGGCCCCAAAGCGUUCGACCGUGAGGCCUGGAAAAAUAUGUCCAAAGAGGACCGCGCCAAGAUGCAGGCCCGCUUCGAGCAUGCCCGCGAGAAGAUGAGAGAGGCGUUCAACAACAUCCCGAAUGAGAUAUUUCUGGUGUUGAGACUACCGUCUGCUGGCGAUCGCGCUGGUGCAGCGCCUCGUACCGCCGCCGCCGGCUGACCGAGCCGACCCGGUCGACUACUGGGCGCUGUUUUUCGACGCGCGCGGUCCACGGAUGACGCGGGUGAAGCUGACGCCGGAGCUGACCGAAUGGGUGACCGAGCUGCACUACCGGCUGGUGGAGACGCUGCGCGCGCUGCCGCCGCCGCUGGCGCUGGUGUUUCGGUCAGUGGAGUGACGGUCUGGGGCCGUGUGUGCCGUCAGACCACUGUCUGCUCUGUGAGAUGCUGCUGCAGCGGCCGCUGCCGCGGCGCGGCGGCGCCGUGCGCGCCCUCCGGCACGCCGUCACCGGCGACCAGGAGUACAUGCGCCGCCAGGCGGCCGAGCGGUUCGACCAGAUCACGGACGCGCUGCGCCAGCUGCCGCGCUCGGUGCUCCUGGUCAUCAGGAACAUGAACCUGAUCCGCGCCAUCACUGCUGAGCACGGCUCGCACGUGGACCGGUACCGGCUGAUGGCCCGCAGCGCCACACAGGGCGCCUUCCGUGUCGAGGGCGCCGGCGUCACCGCCCGCCUGGCCGGCUACUGGCAGCGCUUCGUCUUCGACUGGAGACUCUUCGUGGACUCUGUGAAGAUGUGGGCGAUGCGGCGCACCAUCUGGCUGCUGACACUACUCGGCAGGGCGCCGCCGGAGAUGGCGCGGAUUGCCGACCAGUUCUGAUCGGCUGCGGAGUGCCGGCGGUCAGUGCCGCGCCGGCGCCGUGGUGCACACCCCCGAUACGGGUUCAGCAGAGACUCGCCAGAGGAGCAGCUGUUCCUCUCCCGCUCUGCGGUCGAGGUCAGUCCUGGGUCCUUUCCUAUGACCUGAGGUCAGUCCUGGCCCUCUCCUGGGACCUGAGGUCAGCCCUGGGUCCUUUCCUGUGUCCUGAGGUCAGUCCUGGCCCUAUCCUGUGACCUGAGGUCAGUCCUGGUCAUAUCCUGUGACCCAAGGUUCGUUACGACUUGCCCCGUGACCUGAGGUUUGCCCUGGUUUUGCCCGUGACCUGAGGGCAGUCCCAGCCCUGUCCUGUGACCCGAGGACAGUCCCGACUGUACCGUAACCUGAGGUAACCUGAGGUCAGCUCUUGUCCUGUCCCGUUGCCUGAGGUCGUUCAAGGCCUUGAUCCUUUGACUCAAGGUCAGUCCUGUAACCGGAGGACUUUUCUCCGUGACCGGAGAGUAUGGCGUUGUCCGGUGACCCAGGGGCAGUAUGAUGCUGUUCUGUCGGUCCUGGUGACUAAGGUCAGUCUGAGCGCUCUGUGACAGGAUCAGAGGUCAGUCUCUGUGCAAUAUCGCGGCAACUGAGACCGUUCCGUGUGUUCAAAGACUCGAACACCUUGUUCAGAUCAGGUCAGUGGCCCGCCGCGGAUAUGGCCUCUUCUACCUGCAGCCCCGUGGCUGUACCAAUCGAGGUUCCUGCCUGGCAGUAUUGUUGAUUUAGUUGUUAAGAUGAUAUGAUGGUGAUUGAUCGUCCAUUUUUAGAUUUAUUGUGCAGGCUGCGUUGCCAUGUCUUUUGACUGGAAUAUAUACCGCGACUUUUUA